GACGAACGCUGGCGGCGUGCUUAACACAUGCAAGUCGAACGGAAAGGCCCUGCUUUUGUGGGGUGCUCGAGUGGCGAACGGGUGAAUAACACGUGAGUAACCUGCCCUUGACUUUGGGAUAACUUCAGGAAACUGGGGCUAAUACCGGAUAGGAGCUCCUGCUGCAUGGUGGGGGUUGGAAAGUUUCGGCGGUUGGGGAUGGACUCGCGGCUUAUCAGCUUGUUGGUGGGGUAGUGGCUUACCAAGGCUUUGACGGGUAGCCGGCCUGAGAGGGUGACCGGGCUCCAUAGGCCUGCGGGAGGCACCAGUAUGCAAUGGGAGGCAACAGGCGGGAAAAUUGCGCAAUGGGGCGGAGUCUGUGACGAAGACCCCCGGUUCGGGAAGCCCGGCUUUGGGGUGUGAACCACUUUGGACUGAAACGGACCCGGCGUGACGGUAAUUGGUCAAAAAGCACCGGCUAACUACGUG
rnacentral:rRNA from 1 species